AGCCAGACUACCUUCGUACACAAUUACUCAAUCCACCGUAAGGCUCUUUAAUAAGAAACAAGUGUGACAACGGCAAGGCUCUUUUCCCCCUUUCUCUCUCUUUCUCUCCUCCUCCUCCUCCCUCCCUCUUAAACCACAGAGUCAAAUAGCUCUAAUAGAGAUGAAGCUUGAUAGAUCCGCCCAGGUGUAGGUGAAAUGGUAGAGCCUCAGGGGUAAUAGAUGCUGUGCUUGCUUGCUGGAGUUUAGUGUUCUGUCCUGACCGGCUCUCCAGAGCUACGCUGACACCGGCUGCUCCUUGUACAGUUACAAAGUCAACAUGCUUCUUGCUGCUCACGUCUGUGCCUAACCCAGAGGGCAACCUGGAGCUAGGUAGGAGCCACAGAUCAGCCCUCGGACUCCAGCUCAAGGACAAAGGACCACAGAUGCAAGUCUAUCUGGUACUGAAUUCUCAAUGGACUAAUCCUUUGAUGAAGGUACAGCCCUUUGAAUCCUAUCAAGACUUGACCUCAAUACUACGUUGACGACCAGGCAAUCAGCACACAGGUCUCUGAGGGAUGCUUCCUGUUUAAACCACAAGAUGAGCACAUGUAAUUUAUGCGUGUAUUAAACCUGACUUGACAGCAUUAAUUGUAUGGUUACAUUUUGUAUUUAUAUAAUACAACCCUGUUUUUAAGGGGGGAGAAACGUACUAGUUUGGCAUUUUUAUGCAAGCUCAAAAUGGUAGAUUUCACACUAAGCUUUAUUGUUAUGUUUUAAAACAUUUGUACGAUAAUAUAAUGAAAAGUUUGCUUCUGAAGUAUGGAAACGUGCAAG
ensembl:lncRNA